rnacentral:lncRNA from 1 species
AUGGGGUCAAUGGUUGGUCAAGAUGGACCAUGGCCUAGGUUAGUGACCUCCAUUGCACUGAGGAGGGGUGCUAGCCUAAGGUCGGCCCAAGUGGUCGAGCCUACAUCAUAAUUUGUGCCAGUGGGGGCUUGCGUUCGCGCAGCCUCUGCCAAAUUCAUCAGUUCAAGUUUUCUUGUAAAGCCUACUCCUGUGAUGAGCUAAUUGUUGACUUAAUUUUUUUCAUAUAUUUAUGACGUUUAGAUCUUCAAAACAAACAGUAAUAUUUUAUUAUUACGGUUUUUUCAAAAUUUUAUUUUUCCUAUUUGAAAACGUAAAGCUGAAUACAGUUUCCACUUGUUUUCUUGUAUGAUGAUGACUUUUCACGGCUUUAAUAAUAGAAUGAUUACCGAAUGAGGCUUGCCCUAUUGUGUCUCGAACCUUUUUAAUAUCUUGGCAUUAACAAUUUUAAUUUAUAAUAAUGCAUCUCAAAUAUUUUAUUCAACAUCACUUGACAAAAAUGAUAAAAUGAUCAUUUACUUCUAUUUAGAUUAAAUUCAGACGGUCGGCCCAAAAAGAAACAAUCUUUUACGUUGUUGACAUAAGGGUAAAAUAUCAUUACUCUUAUUUAGCAGCACUUGUAGAGACAGAAGGGUAAAAAGGUAGUUUCUUCUUUGGUCCAAAGAUAAAAUCAUUUUUAAAUAUAUCACCACUUGCAAAGAGAAGGGUAAAGUGGUAAUUUACUCUAAUUCAACAUGAUAUACACCAUACAGAAAAGAGUAAAACAGUCAUUUACCAUGUUUUUUUUUUCCUUUAUUACUUUUUUUAGAAACCUAUAGCUUAUGUGAUUGGAGCGAAGAAGUGUAUAUGGAUGUUUGCAUACUUUUAUAAAUGCCUACAAGAGUAAAGGGAAUGUAAGUGUACAAACAAACACGAUUUAAAACCACCCUAAAACUUCGAUAGCAACGGAAAAAGACACUAAUACCCCCGACAAAUUGUAUUUAAUUUCCAAUUGUAUGUUUGUUGUGUUAUUGUUUACAAAUAAGUGAAACAUGGAUGCAUCCUCCAUUACAGGACACAACUGAGGUAGCCGAGCAUUGAUGGAAAUCACAUCCAUGAUGUUAUCUAUUUAGGCUAGAGAAAAAUACAUAAAAACACAACAUACUUUCACCAUUUUAUCAAUCAGGGUUUUCAUUUUUUUUAGUGAUUAAACCUUUGCAUUUCAUUUGUCUUUUGUCUUUUUCAAAAGUAUUUGACAUUCUUGUGUUAUUAGUAAACUCAAAUGGUUCAAUGUGUUUUAGCUGUAAUCACAAUCUCUUGUUGAUAAAUUAUCAAAGUUCAAGGAAUCUGAUACAAAUUCAACAUCUAGUUUUGAUAAAGAUAGAAGUUCAAUGUGUGUGUGUGAGAUAAGUUGAAAUCAAAUAGUGUUCAUGUUUAUGAUUAGACGAUUACUGCUUUUCCAUAAAGUAAAAUUCUCAUUUAAAGAAAGUAAAAAAUAUGUAUUAUAGACAUUUAAAUGUAUGUCUUUGUUUUCAGCUUGAUGUAUACUAUGUAUUUUUAUUCUGGCUUAUAUAAGCCUGUAUUAAUUUAAUCUUUUGUUUUGUUUCACACACAUGAUAAUAAUCAUUUAUUCAUUCAACAAAAAUGAUGUCUUCAAAGUAAAAGGUGUGAAAGAUUACGAGAGCUCAGAGUUGUAUUUGGAAUGGAAUAUGACUUUUAAUGUAAUCCCACAUCGCCAGUAAGAAGAAAAAGAAAGAGAGAGUUAGCUGUAUAAAGAAAACACGAGGCAAACGGAUUACUUACUUACCUGGAUGGGGUCAAUGGUUGGUCAAGAUGGACCAUGGCCUAGGUUAGUGACUUUCAUUGCACUGAGGAGGGGUGCUAGCCUAAGGUCGGCCCAAGUGGUCGAGCCUACAUCAUAAUUUGUGCCAGUGGGGGCUUGCGUUCGCGCAGCCCCUGCCCAAUAUCGUAGUCCAAAUGUUUUGUUCUUGGUAAAGGUUUAUGUAUGCCUUAUACGCUUAUUUAAAUAGGUAUGUUUUAAUCCUCAUACUACUAUACAUGCCAAUUGAGCAUGUUUCUACACCAUCAUUGUAACAAGAAGAAUUUGUGGAUAGUAUGAGAAUUUUAAUAAAAUUUUAAAAAGUACUAAUUUGUUAAAAAGGGAUAUAAUUUAGAAGUUUAAAAAUGUUAUAAAUACAUAGUCCACUGGAGUUUGAUGCUGAUAACAAUUUUUUUUGAUUGUUUGUGUUAAUUAUUAAAUAAAACAAAAAUAUUUAAAUACAAAGAUUUUAUCAAUUUAUUUUUUAUUUUUUAAUAUUUAUUGAAUUACAUAAAUAGUAUUUUAUAAAUCGUUUUAUUCUAACAUAAUGAGAAUGUUUUAUGAGUUGCCUAUUAUAAAUGGCCACUAUUUUGACCAUAAGGAUAGUAACCUCCCUCUUUCAUAAUCAAUGAUAACACGAUACGCAUGCCAAUUUAUCAUUUUCUCUGUAAUAUUUAGUUAUUUUACAUAGGUUUAUUGUCUCAUUUUCUUUGUAAUAUUUAGUUAUUUUACAUAGGUUUAUUGUCGUUAUAACCAACGAAGUUUUUAAAAAAAAUUAAAAGAUAAUUGAAUUGAUUUCUGUGCAUUUUCUUAUGACAUGUUUAAUAAAAGGAAGAAAACCUUUUAUUAAUUUGUUACCAUGUAUAACCUAAUGAAAUAUGAGGUGACAUGCAUAUUUUAUGUCAAACCACAUAAAUAACACAUGUGAGAUGAUAUGUCAUUGAACACUUGAAGAACUAUAUACCACCACCAUCAUCGUCCAUAUAUUCCAAGUCACCACCACCAUCCACCGUCCAACUCCAGUAAAUUUUCGUAACCUUUGUCUCCUUUCUUCCGACAACCGCCCUAUUAGUAUUUUUUUGGCAACCUUGUCCCACAUCCAUUUUUUCUUUCUUGAAUAAACCCCAAUUCAGAGCUAUUAUGAAAUAAUGAAAGCAUCACCUUAAUCAUUUUCCCAACAACUACUUUAUCAGUAAAUUCCAUCAACCUUUCACACAUCCAAUUUUCUUUCCUGAACAAACCAAUUUUAGAGCAAUUGUGGUAGGAUUAUUACAAUACUCAAAACUCGUCAACAUAAUAGUUACAUUACUAAUACAUAAGUUUAACAAAAUCAAUUUAGAGCAAUUGUAAUUUAACAUAUAUGUAACUUAUCAAGGUUAAUAUAAUAAAUUCAUAGCAAUUGUGAUCGGAUUCUUUCAUUUGAUUUCAACAUCAAUAAAUACCCAUGAACACUUCAUGAACAAUAUUUUGACACUAAAAUAACAUACCACUAAAACUCAUUCACCAGUAGGUAGGAGGAUUCUUUCAUUUACUCUCUUGGGACCAUAAUCCAAUCAAUUUGAUUGACUUAAUUCAGACAAUCAUACUCAAAUUAAGACAAUCACAUUACUAAUAGAUGUACCAGCUUAACAUAAUCAUUUCAAAUCAAAUACAUUACUAAUACAUAUCAAGCUUGAAUUAAUGGCGUUAUUAACAUAUGAUCUUUUAGUCCACACAUAACUUAUACAAAUCCAAUAUAGAAUAAUCAAAAUCAAGAUAACUUAUCAAAAUCCAAUCACAUUAGCAAAUUUCUAUAUAACUUGCUCUUUUAGUCCACAUAAACUUAUCAAGUUAAAUAAAAUCCAACCAUUAGUAAUAGCAAAAUGUAAGCAAUAACAAAAAACUAUUUUUUGAAAUAAGCCCAAAUGUCAUUGUCUCAUUCUUGAUGGAGCCUUAACAUCUCCAAAGGGAGAAAAAACUUCAAUCGGAUGUUUGCAACCACGAUAUCUCCCCGGUAAAAAACCUAGUCAUCAUAAUUUGUGGAGGAAUUGAUUUGAUUUGGUUGACCAACACAAACUCUCGAUGUGGUACACAACCACACUUCAGGAAUAAGGUUUACAGGACAAGUUAGACAUUGGUGAAAACGGGAGAUGUUGUUUGCUUGGUAGUAAAUUUCUUUGAAGCCUACUUCAUUGCCCGAUAUAUCAACUCUAUUGCCAAUUGGCUUCUCACGUAUGAUAUUUUUAGACAAAUUAGGGUUUGAGAAAGUGAUUGAUUAAGGUUCGUGCAAGGAAAGACAAAGUGAUCGGUUAGGAUUCUAGUUCAAGCUCUUAUGUGUAAUAGAAGACGAGAAUACGAAGCAUACACCUAAGCAAAACCUUUGACUUUCUCUAAGUCAGAUUACAUAUAUUCAAAGAAACCGAUUUACGCCUUCACUUUCAUAGGGUGAUCUAAAUGGCAAAAUUGCAUUGAGUUUAUACCCUUAUAAUGCACAAAAAUUAGUUCAUGAACAUUUUAGUUUUUUUGCAAAACUUCGUUUGGUUAUAAUAAGAGUAACCUUUUUAUGUUGUAUAAUCAAAAAAUUUCAAACACUAAAAAUCAAUUUAUCACUUAUUGUAUACCGGUAUCAUAUAAGCUAAUUGAAUCAUUUUAUAUUUUCAUUAACUCAAUUUUACUAUCGUGCAUAACUUAAUAAACAUUUUUAUAAAGAAUAAAACAUAAUUAUAAACGAUAUGUCAUGUCAAAUUAUUUGAAAAAACCCGAACACGACCCACAUAAUAAAUGGGUUGACGGAAAAUUCAAUCCAAACCUGUUUAUAUUCUAGUUGGAUUCAUGUCAUGCUUAGUCCAUAAUUGAUACCCCCUAAAUAUAAUCAAAGCGUGAUUAGUUAUUUAGUAUAAUAUAAUUAUACUAUAAACUUUUGUACUAAAUCCAAAAACCCACCCGACUCUAAAGGGUAGUAUCCACACCCGGAUCCGAUCGUCCUCCCAAAGGAGGAACCUGCUGUAACUAAAACCCUAGCAAAACCUCAACUCCCUCCAUUACAUACACACUAAAACAUGCACAGAACUGUUAGACGAGCUGUUAUAAUCGGAAAUGGUUUCGCCGGAGCUGAGAAUCAGUGUGUUGGAUUGGUUCGAGCUUUGGGUCUAUCUCAUCGGCUUUCUUUGUAUGUAAGCGUUUAUCAUUCGUAUGCUUCAUUACUUCUGUUUUGAGCCCCCAAAAAACGGAAAAAAUUAUCAAUUUCUACUUCUCAUGUUAAGACAAGCUUCUGCAUCAUCGAGAUCAUUACAUUUGUCAAGCCAUUUUUGUCGAUAUGCAUUCGCAUCAAAUGAGUUUGAACAUGUUAAACAUCGAAUUGGCACAUUCCAUAACCUAUUUCUCGUUGUUAUUACAAGAAAUUGUUAACACUUUGUACGCCGAUUUGUUCCCAUUGUUUGAACAGCGUGUUCAUAGGCCAAAAAAUGGGAUCAAUAAGUGGCUCAAUUUCCUCCCUGUUUCUACCCACAAAAGAUUAGAUCGAUUGAAAAGCCAAAUCUUUAAUCCACAGUCAACUGUUUCUAGUCAUGGGAAGAAAUCAGUUGCAAGAACAGGUAGCACACUCUAGAUUUUGUUAUAUGUCUAUAAAUUACAAUAAAUAACAGAUUCAUCAAAUGGGAAAUCAUUUUCUUUCAUAUCAAUAAGCUUCUAUAGAUGAUAUUUUAGGGAACCAAUGUCUUAUGAUCCUAAUGUUUAUAGAUCAAUCAGAAAUCUUGGAAGCUGAUGCUGACCUAAUUGCAACCAAUGCUAUAGAGACUUUUGAAAAGUAUUCUUUCUUUCUUUCUUUCUUCUUUGAGAUCAUAUCAAAAUAUAUCAUCAUUAUUAAAUUUAAAACCAUGUUUUUAACAUCAAAUUUGUUUCUUUUUUUGAUAGAAAUGGUCCAUUGUUGGUUGUUGCAUCUGGGCGUGAUACAAUCUCUGUUGCAACUUCAAUUAAACGGUUAGCUCCAGACCAUGUUUUCACUAUACAGGUUUGAUUGUGCAUCUUUUAUUUGUAAAUUGUAAAGCAAAUUACUUUUUUUUACAAUUUUGGUCCAUAAUUUAGAAUCUUGUAACGUUUUUGGUCCCUAUUCCAAACAAAACGUAUAGUUGGUUAUGCAAUUUUGCUCCCCACUUAAACAGGGACAAAAUAUGUUACAAAAACCUCAAAUAAGGAUCAAAAUUGCAAGAGAGAAAAUCUUUUGGGACCAAAAUUGAAAAAUACCACAUCUAUGAUUCUAUUAUUGUUAUAGAUACAACACCCAAGAUCAAAUCUAAAUAGAUUUGAUUUGAUAAUUACACCUCAUCAUGAUUAUUAUCCACUCACUCCUGAAGGAAAGAAACACAUUCCAUGGUUUCUUCAUGGAUUAUUUACUCCCAAUCAAGGAAAAAAUGUGGUGAGUAACAUUUUUUCUUGAAAUCCUCAUCCUCACACAUAAUAAAUAAAUAAUAAAACUUAAAUUUUAAUUCCAAAUAUUAUAUUCAUAUGCAAAUGCAAUCCUAGAUGCUAACACUUGGAGCCCUUCAUCAAGUUGAUUCAGCUGCAUUACAACAUGCAGCCUCAACCUGGCAUGAUGAGCUGGCAUUAUUGUCCAGACCCUUGCUUGUAGUCAACAUUGGAGGACCUAUUCGUGAGUUUUAAUCUUUUUAUUUUUUGUAAAAAAAAUAAAAAGAUUAUUUAAUUGUUUUGUUACAGGUCAUUGCAGAUAUGGUGGUGAUCUUGCUAGAGAGUUAACAACAUCAUUAAUGAAUGUUCUUCCAAGUUGUGGGAGUGUUAGAAUUUCAUUUUCUAGAAGAACCCCACACCAGGUAUAUUUUUAUGUAUAUAUAUUUUUUAAUCGUAUAAUGUAUACUAAUUUUUUAUUUUUUUAUAUAUGUAUGAAUAAUUUUAUUUUACCAAAUUACAGGUGUCUGAGAUGUUGGUAAAGGAAUUUUGUAACCAUCCUAAGGUUUAUAUCUGGGAUGGAAAAGGUGGGAGUGGGACAAGGACUUGCUCUUGAAUCUUGAUAUUUUGUUUUGUGAAAAAGACGUGAAUGCCCUUUUCAUAUGUUUUGUUGUGUUUGUGUAGAUCCAAAUCCACAUAUGGGACAUUUAGCUUUGGCUGAUGCUUUUCUCAUCACUGCUGAUUCAGUCAGCAUGAUAAGUGAGGCUUGCACUACCGGGUAAGUCUCUUAAUUAAGGCAGAAGGGUAAAACGGUCAUUUACUCUCAUUCAGUCCAAAAAUGUCAAUUUACUUGUAGACAUUAUGGAAAACUGGUAAUAUACUUCUAAACAAUAUCACUUGUAGACAGAAGGGUAAAAUGGUCAUUUGCUCAUCCAGUACAAAAAUGUAAUUUUUUUUAUCCAGAAUCAGUUGUAGACAGAUGGGAAAACUGGUUAUACACUUUUAAGCAAUCACUUGUAGACAUAAGGGUAAAAUGGUCAUUUACUCAUGCAACAUCACUUGUAGACAUAAGGGUAAAAUGGUAAUUUACUCAUGCAGCAUCACUUGCGGGAAGAAGGGUAAAAUGGUCAUUUACUCUCACUCAGUACAAAAAUGUAAUUUUUUUUAUCCAGCAUUACUUGUAGACAGAAGGGUAAAAUGGUCAUUUACUCUCAUUCAGUCCAAAAAUGAUUUUUUUUUUAAUCCGUCAUCACUUGUAGACAUAAGGGAAAACUGGUAAUACAAUUACACUCCUAAGCAAUAACACUUGUAGACAGAAGGGUAAAAUGGUAAUUUACUCAUUUUUCUUCUUUUACAUUCCAGGAAGCCUGUUUAUGUAAUUGGAGCCGAGAGGUGUACAUGGAAGUUUGCAUAUUUUCAUAAAUGUCUGCAAGAAAGAGGGAUGCUGAGACCAUUCACUGGUAAAGAGAACGUAAGUUGAAACACAAUAUGAUCACUUAAAUAGCAAAGGGCAAAAAGACAUCUAUACCCUCAAUCAAAUUGUAUUUUAUUUUCAUGGUGUUACUAUUUACAGAUAACUGAAACAUGGAUCUAUCCUCCAUUAAGAGACACAUCAGAAGCAGCUGAGCAUGUGAUAAAAGCACUUGCUGAACGUGGCUGGAAAUUGCAUCCAUAAUGGAGCCAAAAUUUUAUAUAUUUUUAUCGAUUACAUGUUAUCAAAUUAUGUAUAGCAUAAAUCAUCAAUAACAAUUAUAAAGGCUUACAUUAUUUGUUCUCUUGAUUCAAGUUAAUAAUAUAUGUUAACUAAUUUGAUUAGAAUACUUUGAAACUUCCUUUGGAGUGCUUAAUUCUAAGUUGAUUAAACACUAAACCAUUUUGGUUUAUGGUUUUACUCGAAAGGAUAAUAAAUUCAUUAACAUAUUGUAUCAAACUCUUAUUGAAAUUCAUCAAUCAUGAUUGAGCUAAAGAACUCGUUGAAUCACAAUGAGUUAAUGCUUGUCACCAUAUGAUUACUGCUCUUUGUCAAACAAAAAAAAAAAAAAAAUAAUAUAUAUUCGAUAAGAAGUUAAAAUUACAUUACUGUCAAUAUUUCACAUGUAAAAAUAUAUUUCUUUGUUUUGUGUUUGAUUUGUUAUGUUUUCUGGCUUAUAACGAUAAUCAUAAAAGAAAAUUUAUGUUUGUUAGAGAUGAACAACUUUUUUAAGUUUUUUUAAAGGAACCAAUAUGUGAAAUAUUUAAAAAAAUUGUCAAUGCAUUUCGAUUGAUGUUUUGAAUUCUCAUUGAAUCCCGUUAUUAUGGUAAGGAUAUAAAUAGUUGAUAGACUGAUUUAUAAAAUAUUUAAUUAACUUUUGUGGGUUGAGAUCCGGUUUGAUUCGAUAUCCUCUAUAUACUUCCAUUUAUCAUAUUAUGAUAUAUAUCCAUCUAUAUAUACAUGUGAUGAGGAGCAGAUGAAAAUAUAUGUAAUACAUGCAUACAAUUCAUGUGUAAUGUUAGAGAGUAUUCUUGAGAUCAACUGAAAAACUUAUCAUGUUCUUCAGAUUUGAAAAUCACAACGAACACAUGUUCUUCGGAUUUGGAAAUCACAAUGAACACAAAUAUGUAAUCAAUCUUUUCUUGUUUAAGUUUUCUUUUAUCAGAUUCGAAAACCAAUAUCUAAAGUUCAUGCUUCUGCAAUUUAUGUUUUGGUUAUUAUAAUAACCAACACCAAGUAGAAAGAUCCAAAUCACACAUCGAGCUUCCACCAUGGGUUCAUGCUUUUGUGGUCGUUGUUGGUUUAGUCAUCAUGCUAAGUGAGGCUUGCACUACUAGGUAAGUUUAUUGAGCCUCUUCAAUAUUCGGACAUCAUAUAUUCAAUAUAUAACAGUUUCUAUACAAACAAUCAUUCCUUAUUCAACAUCAUUUGUAGACAUAAUAUUAAAAUGGUCAUUAACUAUCAUCUAAGAAAAAUUUGUAACCUUUAUUUUGCAUCACUUUGGCCUGUUUGGGGUUGUUUCCUUCCUUUUUCCUGUAAGGAUAAAGUAGCUUUAGGGGAAAUGACGUAUGUUGAGAUAAAGUGUCCUAUAUGCAAGAUUUGUUUUGUUUGUCUAGAUAAAGUGUCAUGUACAUAAGGUUUCUUUAUUUUAAGAACUAAACAGAGUAUAUGAAUAAAUCUAAAUAAACAUUUACCAUUACAUUCCAAUAAAAACGAAAUUUCACAAUAUUCAUCAAUUUUUACACGAGAAGUUAAGAGAAGAAAAAGAAAAACUAGGUAAAGGGUUUGUAUCUUAAUACAUUAAGCAUAUUUUUUCGCUUAACCCAUUAAGUUAUUAUAUCCAUAUUAAGUAAAAAUAAACAACCAUAUAUAAUUGUUUUGUAUUAACCCAUUAAGUUCAUUAAUUAAAAAAAAGAAACAAAUUGUUAUUCUCAUUUUGGUCCAAAAAGAAACUCAGUAUUUUUAUUCAACAUCACUUGUAAAUAGAAUGAUAAAUGGUAAUUUACUCUAUUGUAUACAAUAUACAUCAAUGUGAAAUUGUCAUUUACUUUUAUUAUUAUUAUUUUUUUACUCUUUUGUCUUCUUGGAAGCUAAUUUAUGCAAUUGGAGCAUAGAGGUCUACACGGAAGUCGACAUACUUAUAUAGAUGUAUUCAAGAAAGAGGGAUGGUGUGAUCAUUCUCUGGCAAAGAGAAUGUAAGCUUGCAACUAUUUAUGCAUAAAGAAACACAAUAUGAUAACUUAAGACAAACAUAUCACUUCAAUAGCAAACUCAAAAGACAUAAGUAUCCUCCAUAAAUUGUAUAUAAUUUUCCAAUUAUGUUUGACAGCGUUAAUGUUUACAUCUAAGUGAAACAUGGAUGUAUCCUCUGUUACGGGACAUAGUUUUAUGGAAAUUAAAAAUUAUGACUUAUAAGAAACAACUUCUAGUUUACACACAAUAAAAACCAUUUAUACCCGUACUAAACCUACUAAGUUAAUCCAAACAUUUUUUUAGUUUAUGAUUUAUUAACCGAAUUUUUUUUAAUCCAAAUGAGGCAAUCCAAACACUUUUUAACUUAUAGUAUUUUGUAACUAUAAAGCAAAUAAUCACUUUUAUCAAAAAGUGCGUAUUAAGUUAAAUAAGCAAUCUCAAACACCACCUUACCCUUGCACUUUAUUUGUCUUAUUUAAAUUUGUUGAAUUACUUGUGCUUUUUUAUAAAACUCAAAUGGUAAGUGUAUUACAAUGUGUAUGUGAGCCUUUAUAAUUUUUGUGAUGAAAAAUGGUUGUAAAAAAAACUACUUAUUCACACAAUUUUUGAAAACUAGGCUAAAGUCUUAAUUUUCAUAUCGUGUUAACUAAAUAUACACUCAUCAAAGAUCAAAGAGUCUAUGCUACAAGUUCAUGUCUCGUUCCAUACUCAUCUCAUAGUACUUCAAUGUCUCGAUCCAUACUCAUCUCAUAGUAGUUCAUUGUUUCCUUUUGUAUGGUUCCAAUGAUGUGUUGAAAUUAGACUAUGUUCAUGCUUAUCACAAGACGAUUACUGACCUCUCCAAAUGAAAAAAAAAAUAGAAAAAAGAUUAUUGUUUCAAGAAAAACUUAAAAUUAUAGUCCCUAACUAAGAUACACACAAUCUAUCUUUAUUUUGGCUUAUAUUACAUUUUAUAAAGAAACCAUUGUCACGCUAAUCAAAGAUAAUAAACUUCUUAUUGAAUGAAAAAAAUAUAAAGUAUCAUGGUUUGAAGUAUUAAUGCAUUUCGGCAAGCUAAUUGUAAAUAAAGGUGUAUGAAGGCAGAGUGGUGCACUUUGGUGUGAUCCCACAUCGCCAGAAAGAAGAAAUAGAAAGAGCGAGUUAACUGUAUAAAAAGGGAAUGAGGCUAAUGGAUCAUAUACUUACCUGGAUGGGGUCAAUGGUUGGUCAAGAUGGACCAUGGCCUAGAGUAGUGACUUUCAUUGCACUUUGAAGGGGCGCUGUUUUAAGGUCGGCCCAAGUGGUCGAGCCUACAUCAUAAUUUGUGUCAGUGGGGGCUUGCGUUCGCGCAGCCCCUCCCCAAUAUAUUAGUUCAAAAUUUUGCUUAACAAUUACUUGUUUUUACUUUUGAUUUUUGCUUCUUUUGUUAUUCUGUAAUUGCUUACUUAAUCUAACAGUUCAUUAUGCUUUCCCUGUUAUUCUAAUUCAAGUUGAUACUAACUUGAAUAUGCAUACACUGCAAAAAAUCUUUCAGAACGACUCUUUUUAUCUGUCUAUGCUUAGUGUAAAAUACAAAAAAUACUUCUAUUACUUUCUUAAUCAGUAUUGACUAUUUGUGAUUUUAAGUGGACAAGUUUGGACUCAUGUAGCAAAAAUGUUCUAUAUAACCCAUCAACAUACUUUUUUUUUAUUAGAUAGGAGGGUUGUGGCCUAAAAUGUACUUUUAAGUGUCUUAUAGAUAAAAUAUCGAUUACAUGAAAAAGAAAUAAUGGUAAUGAACUGAAUUGUAGUUUGUUCGUUUAGUAGUUCGAACCUAGAACAAAUAUGAAGAAUGUAAUGAUUCUUCAUUCUCUUUUGAGUUGUUUUGUUGGAGAGAUUGUUGAUGAUAUACCUUAAGGCAGACAUAGAUCCCCACCUAAUUGUCGAUCUAAAAAGCCUUCUCGUACGAUGUUUGUCCGCUUGAGAUGACACUUGUUGUCGUGUUCAGACUAAAUUCUCCUUCAAAGUUACAAGGAUUUAGGAAUGGGUGUGCAAGGUGUCGUCGAUAGAUGCAACCGGUGAUGACCCGAGCGUGUAGGCAGGUAGACUCAGCGAAGGGCAGGAGUAAAGCGCAUGAAAUGGUGUCAUUCGAGUAGUUGUGUGAUAUGAAGAAUUGCACCAAAACUUAGCAAGGUGUGAAUAACGACUCCAAGUCUUUAGUUCAUCAUUUAUGAAUCAAUGAAGACAAAACUUGACCGAACAGUUGAAGCACCUCAGUUAGACCAUCAGGUUGUUGACGAUACGUACGCACCAGAUUAGAAGAGUGUCGUGUCGAGUUNUUUGUUUUUUUUUUUUUUUUUUUUUUUUUUUUUUUUUUAAUAAACUCGUUCUAGAAUCGAGUCUAGAUCCGAAAUAAUUGAACAAUGCAACCCAUAAAGUUGAUAGAUGUUAGAGAGGAACAUGUGAACAAGCAUUGAUGCCAUGUAAUUGGGUUUCGAGAUCGAUGAAGUCACUAAAUUAAUUUAGUUAGACGAUCAACAAUGACCCACAUUUGAUCGAGGAUGGGAAGAGGUUCUAGAGGGUCAUAGGUUUUCUUGGAUGAAUAUUUGACUUGUUGACACGUGGUAAAUGCUUGAAUGAAAUUUGCAACAUUAGACCGCAUGCUCACCAGUAAAAUGAUGCAACUAAGGGGGUGUUUCGCUUAGCUUUUCAUAUGCCAAAAUAACUUUUAGUAAAAGAUCAAAGCCAAAAGAUGUUUGGCAAAAGACUUUUAAAACCAACUUUUGGAUUUUGAAUAGAAGAAAAAUCAACUUUUUGGAAAAUUCAGGAAAACCUGAUUUUUUGUAACUUUUUGGAAUGACUUUUGGCCUCUAAAAAGCUAAUCCAAACACCCCCUAAGAGUUAUAUAGUAGCAUUGACUCUCGAGUGGCCCUCAGUUGGGGUAGUAUGAUGCUUAAUGACGAUGCGAUGGCGUAAGUCGUUCAGGGGCGGAGAAACAAGGUGAUUUUGGUAGUAAACCAUGUCGCUAUGCCCCAGUCAGCUCCUUUGUGGAAUAAUAAGAAUGAACGUUAUCUAACCAUGAGAAAGUGGGAUAAGUAAUGGUCAUAUAGUGGUAAUGGAGUCGACUAAGGGUUUCGGUGACACGUUCCGAAGCCAUACUUGGUGGGAUUGUCUUUGAUUCCUUUCGUUUUGUUCCUUGGGUGUUCACGUCUUUUCAAGAAGAUUAGGUUGCGUUUGGUUGUGGAAAAUUUUCCAAGAAAAACGGAAAUUUUGAAAACGCGUUUGUUUCGUUAAGUUUUUCAAAGUUUUCUAAGAAAAUGAAAAUUUCCAGUUGAAAUUGAAUGUAAACUAGAAAAGUGAUUUUAUAGGUUUUCCAAAAUUUUACAAUUUCUAAGAUGGAAAAUGAAAACUAGAUCUACUGGUUCCAACCAAACGUUUUUUCUAAAAUUUUUAUUAAAAACUGAAAUUGAAAACUCAAUUCUAUUCUCUGAAAACAUUUUCUUAGAAAAUGAAAACAGUUUUUCACAACCAAACGCACCCUUAGUAUCCCAAAUCUCUAACCUCGUAUUUUGUUUUGAUGUCAUAGUAGUUGGUAUCAUGUGUGUGAUGUCGGUCAAUGCACAUGUUAAGAUGUUUGGUUGCGUUUUUGGAGUUAUAGAGUAAUCCCCAUGUUCUUAAUCGGUCCAACAUGUUAAGGUAGUUUUAGUAGUUGAAAUCUCCCCAAUGUGAGAGUAGAACUGGUAUGGAUUAAUGGAAGUCGAAAAAUCCUGAUGUUUUAUAACUAUCACUAAAUCGCAACGCUCAUCUCUAUAUGUGCAACGCCUCGAUGGUUUUUUGACGUUUACAAUAAACGAGACCAUUGACUUUGAGUUUUUGGCAGUGGACCUUGGACCGUGCUGGUUGAGGCCGGUGGUCCAGGUCCGGGUUUUCCGGUUCUUGUACUCGUUGGAUCAGUACAACUUUAAGUGCAUAUGAUACAACUUGUUGAAUCCCUACCAAAAGUUAGUUUAUCUAUUAUGACAUAAGGUUGAGUAUUUUGAACCGGACUGGACCAUAACGGACUUUGCAGAAAUUGGUGGACCUUAGACCAGAGUUGUUGAGGCCAAACCAGGUCCGGUUCCGGUCCGGUCCUGUCAGGAGGUCCAAAUGCUCAUCCCUAGGGUAGCGUGUUCCAUUAUGUGUGUCGCGCCUAAUCAAUAAUUUUGUUAGUUGGUGUCGUUUUUCUUAUCGAGAUGUUUUGUUCUGGUUUAAGGUGCGUGAUUUAGUUGACGGGGUGUUUAUUUUCCUCUGCUCAUUGCCUAUAUCACUUAGAUCACAGGUGAGUAAAUCCUUUUUCCAACUUUGGUACAUUGUUAAGAACUACAACUUUUUACAACAAAUCGAAUGAUUCGAAUUAGUCUUUUAUGUUAGCUAGUGAAUCUUUAUGCUACUGUUUAUGUGCUAGAAAUACGUUAUCUUGCUGUGAUAUGAGCUUUAGGUUGUCAUGCAUGCUAGAUGAUAUUUAUGAAGAUGUGUUAUGAUAUGUGAUAUUGGAUUCAUGCUAGACAAUUUGGUGGUUUCACCUCAUCAUGAUUAUUAUCUACUCACUCCUGAAGGAAAGAGACAUAUUAUUCCAUGGUUUCUUUAUGGAUUAAUUACUCCCAAUCAACCUCCUGCGUAAAAAUGUGGUCAGUAACAUUUUUUCUUGAAAUCCUUAUCCUCGCUCAUAAUAAAUAAUAACUUAAAUUUUAAUUCAAAAUAUUUUUUUAUACAGAAUCCCCGAUUCUAACACUUGGAGCCCUUCCUUCAUCAAGUUGAUUCUGUUGGUUCAAAACAAAUGAACAAUGCAAAAUGCUGAAAAGCUCUCGAUUAUUAUUCAGUGAAAAACAAAGAAUAGAAGGCUGCAAUAUAUAGCAGCACUUACAACUAAAAAAGUAAAUGCUGGAAACAUGAAAAGACUAAAAGUAAAAGCAGGAAAUAUGAAAGACUUCAACGGUUAUGAAGACACACACGAGAGCACUUAUUUCACUUUAUUUCACUGACUUUGAAUUAGUCUUCAACACCCCCCUUUGAUUCAAAGCUUCCAAUGCCAACACAAGCUCGGAGACGCUGAAAACGUGCAGGCGGAAGAGCCUUAGUGAACAUGUCGGCCAAUUGUUCUUCAGUAGGACAGAACUCCACCCAUAUUACACCUGCUGCCACCAAGUCUCGAAUGUAGUGGUGCUUAAUUUCAAUAUGCUUGGUACGCCCAUGCAUAACUGGGUUUCUUGUCAUGGCAACUGUCGAUUGACUGUCAUAGUAAAUCACAGUUGGUUCCCUUUGUUCCUGCAUAAGAUCACCCAUAAGUUUUCGUAACCACACAGCUUGACACACGGUAAUUGUGACCGCCACAUAUUCCGCCUCAGUUGAUGAUAAAGCUACCGUUGCUUGCUUCUUUGACUGCCAUGAAAUUAUUCCAGACCCAGUACUGAAUCAAUUCCCUGUUGUACUCUUCCUGUCUUCUUGUGAUCCUGCCCAAUCACUGUCAUUGUAUCCUUUUAGCACAAACCUUUUUGAGUUCAAAUACCAGAUACCAUAGUGCUUGGUACCAGCUAAGUAACGAAUAAUUCUUUUGACAGCUCCAUAGUGUUGUUUUCUGGGUUUGUGCAUGAAUCUUGAGACUACUCCCACUGCAAAACUUAUGUCUGGUCUUGUGUGAGUGAGGUAGAUUAACCUCCCAACUAUGCUCCUGUAAUUUUGAGGAUCUGUCAUUCCUGUGCCAUCUUCACAUGUUAGCUUUUCAUUGGUGUUCAUAGGAGUUGUGACUGGUUCAAUAUUCUCCAUGUUGAGACCCUUUAGCAUGUCUGAUACAUAUUUUUCUUGAGCAAUAAAAAUACCGGUGUUUGUUUGCUUUAUUUCGAUCCCAAGAAAAUAAUGUAGCUUUCCAAGGUCUGUCAUUUCAAACGUCUUCAUCAUCUCCAUUUUAAAUUGAUAAAUGAGCUCUUUAGACGACCCUGUGUAGAUCAUGUCAUCAACAUAGAGACUGACUAACAUGAUCCCUGCAUCACCUUGCUUCCUGAAAUACAUGGUGGGUUCACUAGGACUUUUCUGAAAACCGUUGAAGCGAAAGAAGUUGUCAAUCUUGCUAUACCAUGCACGCGGAGCUUGUUUAAGCCCAUAUAAUGCCUUCUUCAACCUAUAUAUCUUCCCUUCUUGCCCAGGAACAAUAAAUCCUUCGGGUUGUUGAACAAAAACUUCUUCUUUUAGGUCCCCGUUUAAGAAUGCCGACUUAACAUCGAACUGGUAAACUUCCCAUUGUUGUUGUGCAGCUAAUGCAAGAAUUAACCUUAUUGUCUCAAUUCUUGCCACCGGUGAGAAUGUUUCAUUGAAAUCUACACCCUGUUCUUGUCGAAAACCACGAGCAACUAAUCUUGCUUUAUGUUUUUGGAGACUACCAUCCGCAUUGAACUUUUUUUUAAAAACCCAUUUCAAAGGAAUUGGAUGCUUACCAGCUUGAGGUUCCACCAGAUCCCAUGUCUCGUUCUUUUCGAUCGCCAUAAUUUCUUCCUCCAUUGCUUUCUUCCAGUUAACAUCUUGAAGUGCCACAUCUGCUGAGACUGGAUCACCAGCGAACAGGGAUAGAGUGCUAUCAUAAAUGUCAUUCAAGUUCCUAUAUCUGAGUGGUGGAGUAUCUGGAGACGACACAUCGGAAGAGCCAGGUGUGGUCCUCGAGGGCGUAGCAGAAGAUGAUUUACAGUGAGUAGAGCUCGGUGUCGGACUUGAUGGAGGAGACAUGGGUGUAAUGAUCGGAUGAUCAUGCACUUUAUCUUCUACAUUUUCAAAUGAAUUUGGCUGUGGCAUUAAGUUUGUGUGAACCGAUGUAUCCACAUAACUUGAAUAUUCUUCAAAAAUCACAUCACGGCUGAUAACAAUAUUCUUAUUUAUAGGAUCGAAUAACCUGUAGGCCUUUGACAUUGUACAAUAGCCCACAAAGAUGUAUUUCUUGGACUUCUCUUCUAGCUUGUGCCUAUUUGUGGUGACCAAUGCAUAGCAUAAACAGCCAAAAACACGCAAAUGAUCAACAGUGGGCUUGAACUCAUACCAGGCUUCGAAAGGUGUUUUAUUCCAUACUGCUUUGGUGGGUGAUAGAUUGAGGAGAUACACAGCUGUGGCUACCGCUUCUGCCCAAAAUGAGUCAGACAACUUACUUGUUUUUAGCAUUGAUCGAGCCAUCUCCACAAUAGUCCUGUUCUUCCUCUCUGUGAUUCCGUUUUGCUCAGGUGUAUAAGGAGCUGUCAAUUCUCUUCUUAUUCCUUCUUCUUCACAUAAUGUAGUGAAUUCCUUUGACAUGAAUUCACCGCCUCUAUCAGUUCUUAGAAUCUUGAUUACAUUGCUUCCUUGUUUUUCGACAAGGGCUUUGAAUUUUUUGAAGUGCUCAAAAGCUUUAGAUUUCGCUUUGAUGAAGUAGACCCAACACAUAUGAGUGAAAUCAUCAAUAAAAAGCAAGAAGUACUUACUCCCCGAGUGUGAUUCUGUCCUCAUUGGACCACAUAUAUCUGCACAUACUAUCUCCAGUUUUUCUGUUGCUCGUCUUGCUUGCCCCUUCGGAAAGGAUCUUCGUGUUUGCUUACCCAAGACACACCCUUCACACACAUGGGUAGAAUCUUUUAUGGUUGGCAGCCCGUUCACCAUUUGUUUGCUUGUUAAUAGUUGUAGACCUUUUACAUACAAAUGACCAUAUCGAUAGUGCCAUAAUCUUGACUCAUCAUCCUUGCUACUCAUCAUCAUAUAUCCUUCUUUUCGUGAAAAAUCUACUGGAAACAUCCUAUUUCCAGCCAUUUUUGAGUAUAAUAGAACUUCACCAUUUUGUUUCUUUACCACACAAGCAUCAUUUUCAAAUUCUACCUUCAAUCCAUUUUCAAUUAACUGGCCUACACUUAUCAGAUUGUGGGCCAGACCUAUCAGAUUGUGGGCCAGACCUGGUGCAAAAUGAACAUCAUUGAUGAGUUUAUCCUUUCCAUCGAUGCAAACCGUCACAACUCCUAUUCCUUCUAUCGCAACUGGUUGGCCAUUGCCGAGACGGACACGUGAUUUUCCUGUCGUGUUCAGGCUUUUGAACUUGUCACGUACACCGGUUAUAUGAUUAGAACAUGCACUGUCUAUAUACCAUAUCUCCUUUGUAACAUCAACCGGAUGAAUGUGGGUCAUGAACAAGUAAUCUUCCUUCUCUUCAAAUUCCUCUUCAGUGUACUUUGCUUGGUUUUGCUUUGUCCAACAAUCUUCUUCUUUAUGACCAAACUUCUUACAAUGAUCACAUUGAACUAGUGACCCUUGUGAUCUCCCUCGACCACGACCACGAGAUGAUGCUCUGCCUCUUCCUCGACCAAAGGAAUAUCUACCUUGUUCUCCUUGGAUCCGAAAUGCACGUUCUCCAUCUUGAGUAUGAGAUCUGUUGAUUCUUGCUUCAUGUGCUUGUAGUGAGCCCAUCAGUUCAUCAAAGGAAAAUGUUGUAAGAUCCUUUGACUCUUCAAUAGCCGCCACAACAUGGUCGAAUUUAGAAGGUAGACUCCUCAGUACUUUUGCAACAACAACUUCAUCAGAGAUUUUAUCUCCAUAAGCACGCAUCUGAAUCACAAUCGAAGAUGCUUUUGCAAGAUACUCUUGAACGGUUUCACUUGGUUUCAUGUUUAAGGUCUCGAACUGCCUUCUUAGGGAUUGGAGUUUAACUGUGAUCACCUUUGCUGAUCCUUGAUAUUCAGUUUUGAGAAUGUCCCAGGCAUCUCGUGAUAUGUUUGCUGCAGCAAUUCUGGGAAAGAUUGUUUCAUCAACAGCUUGUUGGAUGAAAAACAAGGCUUUUGCAUCUUUCUUUUGAUUUUCUUUCUGACGUGUCUCAUCUGUGCUUGCUUUUGCAUACCCAUUUUCAACAAGAUCCCACAAAUCUUGUGACUUGAACAAAGUCUUCAUUUUGGUACUCCAGAACUCGUAGGAGUCUCCCUUAAAGAUUGGAAUUUGAGGGUGAGACAUGCUAAUAGUGUUGAGGUUCUGUGCCAUCAAAACAAACCAGAGAGACUUAGGAUUGCAACCUAAGCUCUGAUACCACAAUGUUGGUUCAAAACAAAUGAACAAUGCAAAAUGCUGAAAAACUCUCGUGUAUUAUUCAGUGAAAAACAAAGAACAGAAGGCUGCAAUAUAUAGCAGCACUUACAACUGAAAAAGUAAAUGCUGGAAACAUGAAAAGACUAAAAGUAAAAGCAGGAAAUAUGAAAGACUUCAACGGUUAUGAAGACACACACGAGAGCACUUAUUUCACUUUAUUUCACUGACUUUGAAUCAGUCUUCAACAGAUUCAUCUGCAUUACAACAUGCAGCCUCAACUCUGGCAUGAUGACAUGGCUUUAUUGUCCAGACCCUUGCUUGUGGUCAACGUUGGAGGACCUAUUCGUGAGUUUAUUUUUCAAAUUUCAUUUUUAAUCUUUUUAUUUUUUGUAAAAAAAUAAAAAUAUUAAUUAAUUGUUUUAUUAUAGGUUACUGCAGAUAUGGUGGCGACCUUGCUAGGGAGUCAACAACAUCAUUAAUGAACGUUCUUCCAAGUUGUGGGAGUGUUAGAAUUUCAUUUUCUAGAAGAACCCCACACCAGGUAUAUUUUUAUAUAUUUCUUUUAAUUAUAAUAUUCUAUUUUUUUAAUAUAAAUAAUAUUUGACAAAAUUACAGGUGUCUGAGAUGUUAGUAAAGGAAUUCCGUAAACGUCCUAAGGUUUAUAUCUGGGAUGUAAAAGGUACCCCACUCCACUCCACUAUCUAUCUAUAGGCCCCACUUGUUAAACAUGACAUAAUAUAACAUAACAUGUUUUACUUAUUUUGUGUUUGAUAUGUGUUGGACUCGGACUGAGACGGGAAAUGGGAUUGAUGUCAGUAGGAUAAAAAUAGUAACUUUUGAUCCGGUCCCACACAAAAAGGUGGGAGUGGGACAAGGACUCUUGAAUCUUGAUGUUUGUUUUGUGAAAAAGACGUAAAUGCCAUUUUCAUAUAUUGUUUGUGUUUGUGUAGAUCCAAAUCCACACAUGGGACAUUUAGCUAUGGCUGAUGCUUUUCUCAUCACUGCUGAUUCAGUCAGCAUGAUAAGUGAGGCCUGCACUGCCGGGUAAGUCUCUUAAUUAAGGCAGAAGGGUAAAAUGGUCAUUUACUCUCAUUCAGUCCAAAAAUGAGUUUUUUUUAAUCCGUCAUCACUUGUAGACAUAAGGGAAAACUGGUAAUACAAUUACACUCCUAAGCAAUAACACUUGUAGACAGAAGGGUAAAAUGGUAAUUUACUCAUUUUUCUUCUUUUACAUUCCAGGAAGCCUGUUUAUGUAAUUGGAGCCGAGAGGUGUACAUGGAAGUUUGCAUAUUUUCAUAAAUGUCUGCAAGAAAGAGGGAUGCUGAGACCAUUCACUGGUAAAGAGAACGUAAGUUGAAACACAAUAUGAUCACUUAAAUAGCAAAGGGCAAAAAGACAUCUAUACCCUCAAUCAAAUUGUAUUUUAUUUUCAUGGUGUUACUAUUUACAGAUAACUGAAACAUGGAUCUAUCCUCCAUUAAGAGACACAUCAGAAGCAGCUGAGCAUGUGAUAAAAGCACUUGCUGAACGUGGCUGGAAAUUGCAUCCAUAAUGGAGCCAAAAUUUUAUAUAUUUUUAUCGAUUACAUGUUAUCAGAUUAUCUAUAGCAUAAAUCAUCGAUAACAAUUAUAAAGGCUUACAUUAUUUGUUCUCUUGAUUCAAGUUAAUAAUAUAUGUUAACUAAUUUGAUUAGAAUAGUGAUGUAUAAUUAUGAAUUUAUAACUAGAUUACAUUGUUUUUUUUUAAUUGAACUUGUAACAAAAAUAAUUUUAAACUCUUACAUUUCAUUUAUCUUAUUCAAAAGUAGUUAAAUUGUUGGGUUUUUAGCACCCUCAAAUGAUUGGAAUGUGGAAUGUGGAUCUUUAUGUCCGAUCUCAUGUAUAUAUAUAUAUUUUAGUCGUAAUAACAAAUUCAUGAUGAUAAAUGCUUGUAUGAGAAUAACUCUUUAAUCUUUAUAAUUCACACAAGUGUCUCUAAUUGGGUACCAACAUGUUAUGGAUUUGUAUUGAUUUUCUUGAAUAUAAGCAAAUGGAUAUAAUUAAAUCGAAAGUUAAAAGAGUGUAAUCAAAGUGUAUUUAUGUUUAUCUCUAUUUGAUUACUGCUCUUUGUCAAACGGAAAAAAUAAAAUAAAAUAUAUCUAAAAAUAAGAAGUUAAAAUGACAUUACAGUCAAAUAGUUGACAGGUAAAAAUAUUAUUUUGUUUUGAGUUUUAUUUGUUGUGUUCUCUGGCUUAUAACAAUAAUUAUUAAAGAAGAUUUUGCCUGUUUAUUAGAGAUGAAUAAUUUUUUUUAAAGGAACCAAUAUGUGAAAUCUUUAAAAAAUUUGUCAAUGCAUUUCGAUUGAUGCUUUCAUCUUAAAAGCAAAGAGUUUCUGCAAAGGUGUUGAAGGAAAAGCGUUUCUGUGGAAAUAUCAAAUAUGCAAGUCUAAUGUGAUCCCACAUCGCCAGAAAGAAGAAAUAGAAAGGUAGGGGAAGUAUUAUAAAAACGAAACGAGGUAAUUGGAUUACUUACUUACCUGGAUAGGGUCAAUGGUUGGUCAAGAUGGACCAUGGCCUAGGUUAGUGACCUCCAUUGCACUGAGCAGGGGUGCUAGCCUAAGGUCGGCCCAAGUGGUCGAGCCUACAUCAUAAUUUGUGCCAGUGGGGGCUUGCGUUCGCGCAGCCCCUGCCCAAUAUCUUAGUUUGAAGUUUUUGCUUAACAACUACUGUUUUUUUUUUACAUUUUGUGGUUUGAAACGGAACAAAUAUGAGGAACGCAAUGACUCUUCAUUCUCUUUUGAGUUGUUUUGUUGGACAAAUUGUUGAUGAUAUACCUAAAGGCGGACAUAGAUCCCCCCCACCUUGUUGUCGAUCUAAAAAACCUUCUCCUAAGAUGUUGGUCCGCUUGAGAUGACAAUUGUUGUCGGACUAAAUUCUCCUUCAAAGUUACAAGGAUUUAGGAAUGGGUGCGCAAGGUGUCGUCGAUAGAUGCGACCAGUGAUACCGCCAGGUAGGCUCAACGAAAGGCGGGCGUAAAGGGCAUGAAAUGGUGUCAUUUGAGUAGUUGUGUGAUAUGGAGAAUUGCACCAAACUUAGCAAGGUGUGAAUAACGACUACAAGUCUUUGGUUCAUCAUUUAUGAAUCAAUGAAGACAAGACUUGACACAACAGUUGAAGCACGUCAGUGUUGUUGGUGAUACGUAUGCACCAGAUUAGAAGAGUGUCGUGUCAAGGUUCUUGAAAUGAGUCUAGACCCGAAACAAUUGAACAAUGCAACCCAUAAAGUUGAUAGAUGUUGGAGAGGAACAUGUGAACAAGCAUCAAUGCCAUGUAAUUGGUUGAAGUGACUAAAUUUAUUUAGAUGAUGAACAAUGACCCAUAUGGUUGUCUUCCUAUGGGAGACGAUGAAGUCCAUAGUAAUGUCCUUCUAUACUUCUGAUACCUUCAAUUUCAAUAACUUGCUGAUGUAUAACAAAAAUAGUAAAGUAAAUUGUGAAAAACAUAUAAAGGCAAACCUAAGAAUCCCAACUUUUUUAAAAACAAAUUUCCACAAAAAUCAAGCAAAUAGUUGUAAUCUCUUAAAAAAAUGAAAGUUUAAAAAACCUAGUAUUAGUCAUAUAUUUGCAACCAGAUAUUUUUAAAAAUGGUUUGAUAUUUUGUCAAAAACAUGUCACUCAAAUGAACAUGGAAAUAUCAACGGUUAUCAUUUUGAACAUUUUUCCUUCAUCCAAUUGUUAAAAAAUAAAGAUAAAUAAGUGAAAUUGGAAAUAAUAGGCACUAACUUUGAUUCCUAUGUCCUUUUCAAUCUCAAUAAAAAUUUAAAUUUUUUAAAAAUAUAAGUUCAAACUUUUAUAACAAUGAAAAAAAAUGUCAUGAAAAAAAAAAAAACUCAAUUUUCAUCCUACAAUGGAGUUAGAGCUACAUAGAACCCUUCAAAUGUAUAAAAUACUUUUUUAUUUUUAACUAAAAUAAUAUGUCUAUAUUUUCAAAGUCAACAUUAUCUAAGUGCAAAGUUUUUGUUUUCAAAUUUUUAUAGAUUAUUUUUGUAGCAACAUAAAUAAGAUGGUAAGAUUAUAUUGGAUUGCAUAAAUUCAAAGGCUAAUUUUUCAUAGAGUAUUUUGGGAAUUUAACAUUGAAAACUUAUGGACUUAGAAAAUACCAUGUGGCAAUACUUAAGGACUGUUUGUUUUUUGUGUGAAGAUCUACGCAACCACUUUUGUCAGCGCCACGCAUACAACGCACAGACAUAUGCCCUCUGUAACAACGUAAAUUUUCAAACAAAAUUUUCAUUUCAAAUUAAAGUAUUUUCAUUCAAAACAAGGCAUAAACAUUCCAAGUGUCAUGUCAGAAUACAAAUCAUAUAAAUCCCAAGAUCAGAAAAACAUCUAUCAGUGUGUACAAAUCACGCCGGCGCCUUCCCACGGUCCUUGCUAGUACCUGAAACACAUACACAAUGACUGUAAGCAUAAAUGCUUAGUGAGUUCCCCAAAAUACAACUUACGCACAUACGCCUUUCCAGGCCCUGACCUUCCGGUCCAUGUGUAUUAGGGGACUUCCGUCCCUGCUGGGUAAACCUUCCGGUCCUAUCCACGCCAACCUUACGAUCCACAUUACACGCCUUCCGGCCCAUAUUAUAAUGCCUUCCGGCCCACAUAAACAUACAUAGUACGCAUAACAAUUAACUUAUCACAUAUAACACAUAUAUCACAUAUCAUAUCCGACCUUCCGGCCACACAGUCAAACCCUUCCGGGUACGGUAUAGUGAGAAGACUCACCUCGCGAAUAUCGAAAGCUAGCAAAUCCCAAAGUCACUCGUGCUCGAUCCGCCGAGCUACAAUCUCCCUAUAACAUCAUACAUCUCUUAUUAACACUUUUAUCUUCUAAGCUUGACUAUCCCUAAGAAGUCAAACAUAGGUCAACUCUGGUCAACGGUCAACGGUCAACUUGACCGGACUCGGCGAGUGCUAGGGCGACUCGGCGAGUCUAGACGUCCUCACCAAUUCUCUAAGAUUCCCUUUCUACACGUCGAGUAUCCCCCUUGACUCGACGAGUUCCUCCUGGAAGAAUCGCGGGGCCACCCCGACUCAACUCGCCGAGUCUGAAGAACAACUCGGCGAGUCCCAGUCAAUCUUCAAGCUACUCGCCGAGUCUGUUCAUCGGACUCGGCGAGUCCAUGCCAUGCAACCGCUCAAACUGCUUUCUAAGGUCAGAUCUGCUCCGACAAUUCAUAGGUCUGGCCUUCCUAGACUGGUUCCUCACGUAAAGUCCUCAUUUUGGUGCUCAUAAUACACCCCAUGACUCAUAAUUUACGUUUUGACCUAAGGCAUAAGGAUUCCAAUCCAAAACCUCCAUUGAUUCCCGAAAUGCUCAGGCAUGGGACAUUCUGGACUUCCAAGGGUCCCAAUAUAGGGUUCCAAUCGCUUGGGGGACUAAGGAAACACUCAAUCUAGCCACAAAAGGGUUCAAUAAACCCUAAAUCCAUAUACACAUCAACAUAGAAGGGAUCAACUCGAAAUAUUACCUGAAUAACGUUGCUCUGUGUCCCCAACUCUCAGAAUAUGGCUUCUCCUGUUGUUCCCUUAACCAAGCCUCCUCCUUUUUGCAAAAUAACACUUCCAAGAUCAAUAAUGGCCUUCUACCUUGCUCCAGAUGCUCUCAAUCGAAUUAGGGUUUCACUCACAAGACUAGGGUGAACAAUGACGGCCAUAAGGUCCCCUUAUAUAUGUCCCAAACCUGGACGGUUAGGGUUUCGCUAAACAGCGCGAACUCGCCGAGUCCAUAUCCUGACUCGUCAAGUCCAGUCGCGAACCCGCGAUCCUACUCGGCGAGUCUGAGCUCCAACUCGCCGAGUCCCCUCUUAAAACACCCAAAAUCAUAAAUAUAACGAUACCUGAAAUUCCGGGCUGUUACACCCUCACAGAUUGUUUGUUUUUUGGAAGUGCGCAGAUCAGAAAACGUUUGCGCGAGGUCUUCCUGGCGCAGAUAUGAGCCACUGUCUUCAAAGGUCUUCAGACCUCAUUUUAACCUAAACAAAAAAAAACAUGGGCCACCGUGCAGUUUUUUUUUUUUUUUUUUUUUUUUUUUUUUUUUUUUUUUAAAUGCAUUUUUAAUGUUUAUACCAUGAAAUUAAGUUUAAAAAUUCAAUUUAUUUUAACAGCUGCAAACGUUAAAAACAACAGUCUUCUUAUUGCAGACUGCAUACAUUUGGUCCAUCUCUUCUGCCGCAGAGGCUUGUGGAUGUGGUCCACAGACAGACAUAUUGACUUCAAAAAAAUAAACAACACCUUAUUUUUUUUAUUAUAUAGGGAGACCGGUGAUAAUUUAGGAAGCGAGAAGCAACAUACUUUUUACUUUUAAACUAUAUCUUGAAUGUAACGAGCUAUUUGGUAAUCUCUAAAUGAAAUCAUUCCAACAUUCAACAUAUUUACCAAACUUGUAAAUAUGGUUUUAAGGCAUUUGAUCCAACACCUCGUCUAUAAAGAAAGGGUUUAUGUCCAAUCUCAUAUUUUUUUUAGAUGUAAUAACAAAUUCAUGAUGAUAAAAGGUUGUAGGGUAACAACUCUUUAGUCUUAUCAUUGACACAACCUUGUCACCAAUUAGGUACUAACACAAUAUGAAUUUUUAUUAAUUUUUUUUACUAUAAGCAACUGAAUAUACAUUCAUCAAAAGUUAAAGAGUGCAUCAAAGUGUAUUUAUGUUUAUCACUAUACGAGUACUGAAGAAUGUUUUGAUGCAAUAAUGGGAUCCCACAUCGCUUCAAAGAAAAAACUAAAGGCAGGGGAAGUAUUAUAAAAUGGGAGCUAGGCCAACGGGUUAAUUACUUACCUGGAUGGGGUCAAUGAGUGGUCAAGAUGGCUCAUGGCCUAGAGUAGUGACCUUCAUUGCACUUUGAAGGGGUGCUGCUUUAAGGUCGGCCCAAGUGGUCGAACCUACAUCAUAAUUUGUGCCAGUGGGGGCUUGCGUUCGCGCAGCCCCUACCCAAUUCAUCACUUUAGGUUUUCGUGUAAAGCUACUCCUGUGAUAAUUAUAUUUAUGACGUUUAGAUCUUCAAAACA